UGGUUGCAGGAAGGAAAAUGUCAUUUUUGAUCGAUGUACCUAUACUUUGUCCUUAUGUGCUCCCUAUGAUUGUCACAGUGUUCGGCUACAAGAGAAUGGCGUCACAUGUCAGACUUUCUGACCUGGCUCACUGCAGAGGAAUUUCUCGAGCUGCUGUCCUCAGUGCAGACAAAACCAUGCUUCACAGGCACCAAAGGGCAAAGAUUUCCAAUGCAGAGGAUGAGGAAGAGUUCCUGGCUUUUCCCAAUGACAGAGCGUUAAGUAUCAGGCCAUCCUCUCCACACAGACAGUACAGGACUAUAUUUACUGGUGUGAAUCGAUAUUGUUACGUGGACAUAGACUAUGCUUUCACUGAAGACGAGAAGAAGCAGAGAAAGAGCCAUCAACAGAUUUACGCCGACUUCAUGAAACAACUCGGACAUACACGCAGACAAAGGCUCAAUAAGAGGUUCUGGUUGUUUUUAAAAUAUUAUUAACUUAAUGCUAAUGUUUGCUGCUGAAUUUCAGUGUUUGAAGAACAUGAACAUUUUCAUCACUGAUUUUCAGACGAGAAGAGAAAGACGAUGAUGUAAACAUCGGGCUCGUUCCUGCUCACGGACUUGUUCCACCUAAACUCAGCCUUCUUGACUUAAAAAGCAGUGGAAUUGAUGAAACGAAGCCAAAACUUUUACACGGUGUCCAUGACAACCAACACAACAUACCUCCAAUGACUAUAUCUAACAGUCAGCAGGUUAGCAUCCACUCACAUGGAUUUAAAAUUGUGCUGUCAGCGAAAGUAUGAAAGGGAAACCUUCGUCUGCUGUUUUUAACUCUUUGUAGUCUUUGCAGACUCCUGAGUUAGUGAAAGCAGUUCCCUCCACCUGCCAGGAGAUGGCAGACUGCAGCAGGACUCUGACGCCUCAGGAGCUCUACAGAGUUGUCAUUGGUUGGUCAUUCCUGUUUAUUUCACGCAAUGUUUCCUGUAUAGCACCUAAAUCGACAAAGUCAUAUUAAGUUUAUAAAACAAAAAAGCUGCAUGUUGCAU
rnacentral:lncRNA from 1 species